rnacentral:rRNA from 1 species
GCAGCCGCCGCGGGAAUACGUAGGGUGCAAGCGUUAAUCGGAAUUACUGGGCGUAAAGCGUGCGCAGGCGGUUAUAUAAGACAGAUGUGAAAUCCCCGGGCUCAACCUGGGAACUGCAUUUGUGACUGUAUAGCUAGAGUACGGCAGAGGGGGAUGGAAUUCCGCGUGUAGCAGUGAAAUGCGUAGAUAUGCGGAGGAACACCGACGGCGAAGGCAAUCCCCUGGGCCUGUACUGACGCUCAUGCACGAAAGCGUGGGGAGCAAACAGGAUUAGAUACCCGCGUAGUCCCUGUCUCUUAUAC